GAUGAACGCUGGCGGCGUGCUUAACACAUGCAAGUCGAACGGGAAACCUUUUAUUGAAGCUUCGGCAGAUUUAGCUGGUUUCUAGUGGCGGACGGGUGAGUAACGCGUGGGUAACCUGCCUUAUACAGGGGGAUAACAACCAGACAUGGUUGCUAAUACCGCAUAAGCGCACAGGACCGCAUGGUCCGGUGGGAAAAACUCCGGUGGUAUAAGAUGGACCCGCGUUGGAUUAGCUAGGUGGCAGGGUAACGGCCUACCAAGGAGACGAACCAUAGCCGGCCUGGGAGGGGGAACGGCCACAUUGGGACUGAGACACAGCCCAGACUCGUACGGGAGGGAGCAGUGGGGAAUAUUGCACAAUGGGGGAAGACCUGAUGCAGCGACGCCGCGUGAAGGAAGAAGUAUCUCGGUAUGUAAACUUCUAUCAGCAGGGAAGAGAGUGACGGUACCUGACUAAGAAGCCCCGGCUAACUACGUG
rnacentral:rRNA from 1 species